CACACACACAUAGUCUGUGGCUGAUUAUCUCGCUCUCUUAUCGAUCCAUUGAUCAUUCUGUCACAUCAGGCCACGCCCACAAGGCUUCUAGCAGGCAGUUGCUAUGGUAACCGCUCUAACCAGACCACACAGAGAUCAGCUUCAUCUGAACAGUCAUGCAUGUAGGACUUCAUUGACCUUUGACCUCCCAGUCUGGACCAGCUCGGUGUUUUCUGGAGUCAGAACCUGGACGGGGUGUACUUAGUUUUCACCUGCUGCCGGAGCAACUGGAGGCUGGCAGCCCGCCAGGCUGAUGAAGGCCUGGAGGUAAAUUCAUCCGUCCAUCUCCAGCCCUCCGGCCCCC